AGGACGAACGCUGGCGGCGCGCUUAACACAUGCAAGUCGAACGGGGUUCACCCUUCGGGUGUGCCUAGUGGCGAACGGGUGCGUAACACGUGAGCAACCUGCCCAUGCAUGGGGGAUAACCCGGGGAAACCCGGCUAAUACCGCAUACGUUCUCCGGGUGGAGUCGCCUGGAGAGGAAAGCUCCUGCAAGGGAGCGUUGCGUGGAGGGGCUCGGCGGCGUAUCAGGUAGAUGGUGAGGUAACGGCUCACCAUGCCAACGACGCGUAGCCGAUCUGAGAGGAUGAUCGGCCACAUUGGGACUGGAGAUACGGCCCAGGACUCCUACGGGAGCAGCAGUGGGAAUCGUUGCGCAAUGGGCAAAGCCUGACGCGAGCGUAACGCCGCGUGGCGGGAGGAAGCUCGUUACGGGUGUAAACCGCGUAGGUCGGGGGAA
rnacentral:rRNA from 1 species